rnacentral:tRNA from 1 species
GGAGAGAUGGCCGAGUGGCUGAAGGCACCGCCUUGCUAAGGCGGCAUACGGGAAACUGUAUCGAGGGUUCGAAUCCCUCUCUCUCCGCCA